GAACGAACUCUGGUAUUGAUUGGUGCUUGCAUCAUGAUUUACAUUUGAGUGAGUGGCGAACUGGUGAGUAACACGUGGGAAACCUGCCCAGAAGMGGGGGAUAACACCUGGAAACAGAUGCUAAUACCGCAUAACAACUUGGACCGCAUGGUCCGAGYUUGAAAGAUGGCUUYGGCUAUCACUUYUGGAUGGUCCCGCGGCGUAUUAGCUAGAUGGUGRGGUAACGGCUCACCAUGGCAAUGAUACGUAGCCGACCUGAGAGGGUAAUCGGCCACAUUGGGACUGAGACACGGCCCAAACUCCUACGGGAGGCAGCAGUAGGGAAUCUUCCACAAUGGACGAAAGUCUGAUGGAGCAACGCCGCGUGAGUGAAGAAGGGUUUCGGCUCGUAAAACUCUGUUGUUAAAGAAGAACAUAUCUGAGAGUAACUGUUCAGGUAUUGACGGUAUUUAACCAGAAAGCCACGGCUAACUACGUGCCAGCMGCCGCGGUAAU
rnacentral:rRNA from 2 species